GAAAGGCUGCCACAUAAGAGCAGAAUAAGAAUAGGCAGUUAGUUGGUUAAAAGUGGGAGAGCCGCAAACAACAUGGAUCUGGAGCAGGAGUUCACAGCUGGGACAAAUUCCAUUUGGGCAUUUGUCUUUCCAGCCUCACGUCAAUUCUUAGAGAGCAGCACUGGGUACCCCACAGCCUUUGUACACUCAUCCUUCCCAGCACGGCAAGAGUGGAACCCCUCCCAGACUUCUUUUCCCUGCCUGCACUAGACCCCAUCCCUGUACCAUCUACCACUGCUCAGAAAUCUGUACAGCUCUCUCUAAAGAACUGAAUUUUAACUAAGUGUUAAGUCACUUUGGCUGCAGAUCUUCAUGUUACCAGAUAGGGCCCCUGUUGCUGCUGCUGCUGCUGCUGCCAAGUCACUUCAGUCGUGUCCAACUCUGUGCGACCCCAUAGACGGCAGCCCACCAGGCUCCCCCGUCCCUGGGAUUCUCCAGGCAAGAACACUGGAGUGGGUUGCCAUUCCUUCUCCAAGGCAUGAAAGUGAAAAGUGAAAGUGAAGUCGCUUAGUCGUGUCCGACUCCUAGCGACCCCGUGGACUGCAGCCUACCAGGCUCCUCCGUUCAUGGGACUCUUCAGGAACAAAAGAAGAUUUCUAAAAGAGAAAGCCGGUAAGAACUGCAGGCAAUAACUUCUACACCAGGCUGUGAAAGAUGCCCAGUUUCAGAUGCUUCCUGGGGCUGCCACGUCCACCGCACUCAACCUGGAGGGAAUGUAAGGGUCUUUCAAACCAACUGGCCCAAGGUAUCUGAAGGAUGAACUAGCCUAAAGAGAAAAUCAAUUCUAAGAAGCCAGGCAGAAUGAACUGGAAAGGGCAUUUGAACUAAAACAUGGGGUAAAACAAAUAAAUGUUACCAGAGACACUGAAGGAUUAAUGGAAGCUGAAUAAUUUUUGUAAAAGUGCUUAUGGUGUCUAAAGAACUCAUUCUUCAAGUAUAUCUUUUAAUAUAGCA